GAGCUCUACAGGCUCUAAGCUUCUCUGCUCCUCAAACAUGAGCCCUUCCACUCUCAUGCUCUGCGUGUUCCUCAUCUGGCCUGUGGCUUCUGAUGUGGUUUUAACUCAGACUCCCGGCAUGGUGUCGGCCCGUCCGGGUGGAGAUGUCAGCUUGAAAUGCAGUGCCAGUAAGGAUAUUGGCUGGAAUUUAUCAUGGUACCACAUGACUCGUGGACAGGCCCCCAGACUCCUUAUCAAAGCUGGAGAUGAGCUCUACACGGGCGUGCCAAGCAGGUUUAGUGGAAAGAGAUCUGGAAGUGACUUCAAUCUGACCAUCACUGGAGUCCAGGAUGAAGACGCAGGACAUUACUACUGUCUACAAACCAGAGAAGCUCCUCUCACACAGUAA